rnacentral:rRNA from 3 species
AAAUUGAAGAGUUUGAUCAUGGCUCAGAUUGAACGCUGGCGGCAGGCCUAACACAUGCAAGUCGAACGGUAGCACAGAGAGCUUGCUCUCGGGUGACGAGUGGCGGACGGGUGAGUAAUGUCUGGGAAACUGCCUGAUGGAGGGGGAUAACUACUGGAAACGGUGGCUAAUACCGCAUAACGUCGCAAGACCAAAGAGGGGGACCUUCGGGC